ACCCUGGAGAUCAUCUACCUGCUGACCGGAGAGAAUUAUAUCGCUUUCAAGUUAUCCAGUGGGUUUGUUGCUUCCAAUGUGAUGAAGGGCCGGAGCCCUUUUGAGGAGCCUUCAUCUCACUCCCUGACGCGUGAGAGAAAAAACAAUGAGAAGGUUCAAGAAGCCACCAAUGAAAUAAUUAAUCUCCUGACAAGAGAGGUUCCUAUAAGGUGUCAGGAUGUCUCUGUCUCUUUCUC